rnacentral:tRNA from 1 species
AAGAAACUUAGGUUUACUGAAACCGAAGGCCUUCAAAGCCUUAAACAAGAGUGAGACCCUCUUAGUUUCUG